rnacentral:rRNA from 1 species
AGUGAACGCUGGCGGUAGGCCUAACACAUGCAAGUCGAACGGCAGCACAGUAAGAGCUUGCUCUUACGGGUGGCGAGUGGCGGACGGGUGAGGAGUACAUCGGAAUCUACUUUUUCGUGGGGGAUAACGUAGGGAAACUUACGCUAAUACCGCAUACGACCUACGGGUGAAAGCAGGGGAUCUUCGGACCUUGCGCGAUUGAAUGAGCCGAUGUCGGAUUAGCUAGUUGGCGGGGUAAAGGCCCACCAAGGCGACGAUCCGUAGCUGGUCUGAGAGGAUGAUCAGCCACACUGGAACUGAGACACGGUCCAGACUCCUACGGGAGGCAGCAGUGGGGAAUAUUGGACAAUGGGCGCAAGCCUGAUCCAGCCAUGCCGCGUGGGUGAAGAAGGCCUUCGGGUUGUAAAGCCCUUUUGUUGGGAAAGAAAAGCAGCAGGUUAAUACCCCGCUGUUCUGACGGUACCCAAAGAAUAAGCACCGGCUAACUUCGUG